rnacentral:rRNA from 1 species
AACGGACGACAAGCUUGCUUCUCUGAUGUUAGCGGCGGACGGCCUGAGUAACACGUGGAUAACCUACCUAUAAGACUGGGAUAACUUCGGGAAACCGGAGCUAAUACCGGAUAAUAUUUUGAACCGCAUGGUUCAAAAGUGAAAGACGGUCUUGCUGUCACUUAUAGAUGGAUCCGCGCUGCAUUAGCUAGUUGGUAAGGUAACGGCUUACCAAGGCAACGAUGCAUAGCCGACCUGAGAGGGUGAUCGGCCACACUGGAACUGAGACACGGUCCAGACUCCUACGGGAGGCAGCAGUAGGGAAUCUUCCGCAAUGGGCGAAAGCCUGACGGAGCAACGCCGCGUGAGUGAUGAAGGUCUUCGGAUCGUAAAACUCUGUUAUUAGGGAAGAACAUAUGAGUAAGUAACUGUGCACAUCUUGACGGUACCUAAUCAGAAAGCCACGGCUAACUACGUGCCAGCAGCCGCGGUAAUACGUAGGUGGCAAGCGUUAUCCGGAAUUAUUGGGCGUAAAGCGCGCGUAGGCGGUUUUUUAAGUCUGAUGUGAAAGCCCACGGCUCAACCGUGGAGGGUCAUUGGAAACUGGAAAACUUGAGUGCAGAAGAGGAAAGUGGAAUUCCAUGUGUAGCGGUGAAAUGCGCAGAGAUAUGGAGGAACACCAGUGGCGAAGGCGACUUUCUGGUCUGUAACUGACGCUGAUGUGCGAAAGCGUGGGGAUCAAACAGGAUUAGAUACCCUGGUAGUCCACGCCGUAAACGAUGAGUGCUAAGUGUUAGGGGGUUUCCGCCCCUUAGUGCUGCAGCUAACGCAUUAAGCACUCCGCCUGGGGAGUACGACCGCAAGGUUGAAACUCAAAGGAAUUGACGGGGACCCGCACAAGCGGUGGAGCAUGUGGUUUAAUUCGAAGCAACGCGAAGAACCUUACCAAAUCUUGACAUCCUUUGACAACUCUAGAGAUAGAGCCUUCCCCUUCGGGGGACAAAGUGACAGGUGGUGCAUGGUUGUCGUCAGCUCGUGUCGUGAGAUGUUGGGUUAAGUCCCGCAACGAGCGCAACCCUUAAGCUUAGUUGCCAUCAUUAAGUUGGGCACUCUAAGUUGACUGCCGGUGACAAACCGGAGGAAGGUGGGGAUGACGUCAAAUCAUCAUGCCCCUUAUGAUUUGGGCUACACACGUGCUACAAUGGACAAUACAAAGGGCAGCGAAACCGCGAGGUCAAGCAAAUCCCAUAAAGUUGUUCUCAGUUCGGAUUGUAGUCUGCAACUCGACUACAUGAAGCUGGAAUCGCUAGUAAUCGUAGAUCAGCAUGCUACGGUGAAUACGUUCCCGGGUCUUGUACACACCGCCCGUCACACCACGAGAGUUUGUAACACCCGAANCCGGUGGAGUAACCUUUUAGGAGCUAGCCGUCGAAGGUGGGACAAAUGAUUGGGGGAGG